UACGUGAAACCGUUCAGGGGUAAACCUGAGAAACCCGAAAGGUCGAAGGGGGACAUUCAACCGCGCUCGGGACACGGCGAGAGGCGGUCGCGCGACGGUGAGCCCUCCGGGGUGAUCCGCGCCGAUCGUCGACGUCCGUACCCGAACACGUGCACUUGUCCCCUUGUAGGACGUCGCGACCCGUUGGGUGCCGGUCUACGGCCCUCGGUGGAGCCCGCGCGGAGGUUCGCCUCCGUUCGGACCCGAGGUGUCCCGGCCGGCUCGCCCGACGGUAUAACGAUGGCGCGGGGCCGCGAAUCUAACGCGUCCGACCCGUCGCAAGUGCGGGCGGUAACAACCCGGCGGUCGGACCUAGCGCCGACUCCGGGCCCGCCCGACUGUUAGCGACGGAGUUCUCGGACAGACUCCGUUCACGCCCGUCGGCGACGCUAUAGCUUUGGGUACUUUCAGGACCCGUCUUGAAACACGGACCAAGGAGUCUAGCAUGUGCGCGAGUCAUUGGGAUUGACUAAACCUAAAGGCGCAAUGAAAGUGAAGGCCCGCCUAGCGCGGGCCGAGGGAGGAUGGGCCGCGUCACGAUGCGGCCCCGCACUCCCGGGGCGUCUCGUUCUCAUCGCGAGAAGAGGCGCACCCAGAGCGUACACGCUGGGACCCGAAAGAUGGUGAACUAUGCCUGGUCAGGACGAAGUCAGGGGAAACCCUGAUGGAGGUCCGUAGCGAUUCUGACGUGCAAAUCGAUCGUCG
rnacentral:rRNA from 1 species